GCACUCGUAGCUCAGCUGGAUAGAGCGCUGCCCUCCGAAGGCAGAGGUCGCGCGUUCGAAUCGCGCCGAGUGCACCA
rnacentral:tRNA from 1 species